ACAGCUUUGGACAAAAGUCUAUAGCCAGUGCAUUCGUAACUCCCCAUGCACAAGAGCUGACUGUGGCUCUGGGAAGACAUUUUACUCAUUUGAUUUCUUUUUUCUUGUAGUCGUCUUGUCCAGUUCUCAGGUGUUUACCACCUAUUAGAAUUUCACCUGUAUGGGUCCUGUGUUUGAGAAAGUCCCAGGACUUGUCAGCUGUAUAGGCCUCAUAAAAGACAGCUCU
rfam:Tauraco erythrolophus contig39681, whole genome shotgun sequence.